rnacentral:rRNA from 2 species
CGAAAGCCUGACGGAGCAAGACCGCGUGAGGGAAGAAGGCUCUUGGGUCGUAAACCUCUUUUGUCAGGGAAGAACACAAUGACGGUACCUGACGAAUCAGCCUCGGCUAACUCCGUGCCAGCAGCCGCGGUAAUACGGAGGAGGCAAGCGUUAUCCGGAAUUAUUGGGCGUAAAGCGUCCGUAGGUGGCUAGUCAAGUCUGCGGUCAAAGACUGGGGCUUAACCCUGGAAAGGCCGUGGAAACUGACGAGCUAGAGUGCAGUAGGGGUAGAGGGAAUUCCCGGUGUAGCGGUGAAAUGCGUAGAGCUCGGGAAGAACAUCGGUGGCGAAAGCGCUCUACUGGACUGCAACUGACACUCAGGGACGAAAGCUAGGGGAGCG